CAGUUACCACCCGACCUGGCGGCAGCUGAGUUGGUCUGAGGCAAGCGCCUGGGGUAGACAAUGGGUGGCAGGAGGCAAAUCCAGCUGAUCUACCAGCAGCUGUACAUCGAUCGACAUGAAGUUGAAUGGAGAUGAUUUUCUACCAGCUGGGAAAGUGUCAAGAAUAUGUAGAAGCUACAUGAAUUGGCACAAAGGCAAUUGAUUGAGCUUCGUACUAUCAGAGGACUGGGCAGCUAAGGAAGCUGAAGUGAGCCUUCUAAUGGUUGAAGUUAAACGCGCUCAAUCACGAUAAGUUAGCCUUGACUAUGUAAGUAUCAUUAAAUAACCAUGAGCAGCUGUACUAUCAGGUUUUCUUUAUUUUGGCUGCAGGGAGAUUUAUGGUC